GAGCAAAGUAUCAGGGUUGAAUAAACAAGAGUAAAAACCAGAAUAAAAUGAAAACAAAAUACUCAAAUAUAAAACACAAUUUAUGGAUGAAGUCAAUUUAAAGCACUGAUACAUAAGCAAGACAAAAAGGUAGUGCUUAGUUGGUCUGAAGGAGCAUCAAAGAAAGAGAGGGAACUAAAAUGAUCUCAAGUCUGUUAUAGGCUUGGUUAAUAUUGAUUGUUAUUUCUACCUUGCAUGAAUUUUCUCAUAUUUCUUCUUUGCUCCUGAGGGAAAUAAAAGAAAGAGAAAAGCAGAAUAGGAGCUGCAGAGUCUUUAAUAAAAUUACUGUUUUGUAACCAAGUAUGGAAUCUUGACCCCAAAAAAUGCUUUAAACGUCUUCUUUAGGUUUUUUUUGUUUUUUUUUAUAGUUACAGCAGUGGUUCCUGAUUGAGUCCACAAGGCACACCAAUAAACCAGGUUCUAAAUUCUCUACUAUUAUUGCGCUUUACGAACUGUAUAUCUC